rnacentral:piRNA from 1 species
UGUUAAUUUUAAGCCGUUGACUGUCCG